rnacentral:rRNA from 1 species
AACGUCCCAGUUCGGAUUGUAGUCUGCAACCCGACUACAUGAAGCUGGAAUCGCUAGUAAUCGCGAAUCAGCAUGUCGCGGUGAAUACGUUCCCGGGUCUUGUACACACCGCCCGUCACACCAUGGGAGUUGGUAACGCCCGAAGUCAGUGACCUAACCGCAAGGGAGGAGCUGCCGAAGGUGGGGCCAGUAACUGGGGUGAAGUCGUAACAAGGUACC